CUCAAACAUUUACCAGGUUGCUUCUCUCUCUCUCCACCAUUUAGCUGGUUACCCCUGAUAUAAACUGAAUGUAACAGGUGGGACCGCGGGAACCAGGAAGUGUUAAUUGUUGGCAGUAUAAAUAUCGGCACCAUAAGGGUGCAAGAGAACCAGGUAGUCGAUGUGCAGCUGUGUUUUGGUGUUCCUGUGUUCCCGUGGUUCCCCCUGUGACGAGGGCGAGUCGGCGGAUAUUCUUUUGGACGUCAGUAUUCCGGACUCUCCCGAGGAAGUGGAACGCCGCCAGCCACUGUUUCUGCUAGUUGUCUUUCCCUGUGUUUAUCUUGCACAUUGUUUUUGCUUAUUAUUGUCCCUUGUUUGUUUUAGUUUGUGUACGCACGUUUGUAUUUGUCUUUACAGUUUUAAUAGUAUCGUGCAGCGUUUAGCUAGCUUUUAGUGUGUGUCUAUAGGAGCUGCGAGGGAGAGCGUCGCUAUUGUAGCUGCUCUGCUCUACAGAGCAUUGAACGUUUAGUCAAGUAAGGUGCUGGGUUGUGUUUUCUUUUUGAAUUGUGCACUAUUAUGUUUGGUGUGGCGAUUGUUUAGAGUUACACUUUUAAUAUAUUUACUUUAAUAAUUCACGUGUGGUUUCUUUUUGUUUAUUUUAUCACAGGUGGUGGUUGACUGCCCUUCUGGGCUUUGGUGGGUGGAGCAGCCAAAUAUUUAUUAAUUGGAUGGACGUUUCGCUAUCUCUCCUCUAGGUGUCGCUGGGGACAAUAAAUAAGCAAUUAUUCUAUUGUGCAAGAUAUAUGGUUAGGAUUGUGUGUAAUUGCACUGCAGCAAUUGUGGGUUUUAGUGUUGUUGUUGAUAAUAAAGAUUUUGUUGGCACAACCAAUUUCCAUUCUUUUGUCUUUUCAUUUAUUUGAGAGGGGCUCUGUGUGGGGUACCCAAAUAUUGCUGCUAGAUUAAUAAGGUUAUGUGAGGUUCUAUUUCUCGUUAAACUAUAGAUGGCGUAGUCUGCAUC